rnacentral:tRNA from 1 species
CGCGGGGUGGAGCAGCUCGGUAGCUCGCUGGGCUCAUAACCCAGAGGUCCAUGGUUCAAAUCCUGUCCCCGCUA